rnacentral:misc_RNA from 1 species
AGGGGAUUCAGUUUUCCCUUUCUUUAGCAUUAGGGUUUUCAAUGUUGUUCGUCUUCUUAGUUAUGUUCCUGUUGGCAAAUCUUCGGGUUUUCAGAUUUUGGCAUUGCUGACUGGGAUGGUUGUCAUUGUUAUAUCACCGUUGAUUAGCUUGAUGCAUGAUCAGAUGGCUUUUCUGCUUCCUUCCUUUGAUCUGGCAUAACUGAUAGUGUUGAACAAAAAGCAAUGGCAGGCAUGUAUAGCAUCAUUUAUGUAUGCCCUGAACAAUUCUAAGCCUCAUAAAACCCUUCCAAAACUUGCAGAAAGUCUUAGAAUUGCUCUAUUUGCAGUUGAUGAAGUUCAUUUGUUU